GACGAACGCUGGCGGCGUGCUUAACACAUGCAAGUCGAACGGAAAGGCCCUGCUUUUGUGGGGUGCUCGAUUGGCGAACGGGUGAGUAACACGUGAGUAACCUGCCCUUGACUUUGGGAUAACUUCAGGAAACUGGGGCUAAUACCGUAUCGGAGCUCCUGCUCCAUGGUGGGGGUUGGAACGUUUCGGCGGGUGGGGAUGGACUCGCGGCUUAUCAGCUUGUUGGUGGGGUAGUGGCUUACCAAGGGUUUGACGGGUAGCCGGCCUGUGAGGGUGACCGGCCACAUUGGGACUGAGAUACGGACCAGACUGCUACGGGAGGCAGCAGGGGGGAAUAUUGCACAAUGGGCGGAAGCCUGAGGCAGCAACGCCGCGUGCGGGAUGACGGCUUUCGGGUUGUAAACCGCUUUCGCCUGAGACGAAGCGUGAGUGACGGUAAUGGGUAAAGAAGCACCGGCUAACUACGUG
rnacentral:rRNA from 1 species